rnacentral:rRNA from 1 species
GAUGAACGCUAGCGGCAGGCCUAACACAUGCAAGUCGAGGGGUAACUAGAGUGAUAGCAAUAUUACUUUGGCUAGACCGGCGCACGGGUGCGUAACACGUAUGCAACCUACCUUAUACUGGGGAAUAACUUCGAGAAAUCGGCGCUAAUACCCCAUAACAUUGCGAAGAGGCAUCUCUUUGCAAUUAAAGCUCCGGCGGUAUAAGAUGGGCAUGCGUCCAAUUAGCUAGUUGGUGAGGUAACGGCUCACCAAGGCUACGAUUGGUAGGGGUUCUGAGAGGAUGAUCCCCCACACUGGUACUGAGACACGGACCAGACUCCUACGGGAGGCAGCAGUGAGGAAUAUUGCGCAAUGGACGAAAGUCUGACGCAGCCAUGCCGCGUGCAGGAUGACGGCCCUAUGGGUUGUAAACUGCUUUUGUACGGGAAUAAACCCUUCUACGUGUAGGAGGCUGAAGGUACCGUAAGAAUAAGGACCGGCUAACUACGUGCCAGCCGCCGCAGUAA